rnacentral:lncRNA from 1 species
AUCUAGAUGAGGAAACUUAUCAGAAGACUGAAUCUACCAAUAAAAAAAUUUUUUUUUCCUUUCUCCAGACUACUACCUUGCUUGACCACUGCUGAUGACUGGCCAUUCUCAGCUUCACUUCAAGAAAUCUUGCAAAGCUCUUAUGUGUGAACACAGUGUGUUGCACACACUUCUUUUGGAGUUUUGGAAUACUACAACUACAUUUUACAAAUCCUUAUCUGUGGGGAUAAGAUACUGGAGAACAGCCUCAGAAAAUGAUGCUAACCGAUACAGUUAUCGACAAGAAAAUUAGAGAAAUGGUCUGAACGAAGAACAGACUACAGUUUAAUAAUAGGGUCAAGUGUGUGAUACUACAUUUACACAGAAGGAUUCAACUCUACAAAAACAGAAUCGGGAACAACUGCCUGGAAAACUGGUCUGAGUACAUGAAGGCGGGGGUACAUCUGACCACAAGCUGCUCAUCAAUAAACAACAUUAGGCUGCCA